rnacentral:rRNA from 1 species
UACGUAGGGGCCUAGCGUUGUCCGGAAUUAUUGGGCGUAAAGAGCUCGUAGGCGGUUCGGCAAGUCGGAUGUGAAAUCUCCACGCUUAACGUGGAGGGGCCAUUCGAAACUGCUGUGACUCGAGUCCGGUAGGGGAGUGUGGAAUUCCCGGUGUAGCGGUGAAAUGCGCAGAUAUUCGGAAGAACACCAGUGGCGAAGGCGGAGCUGACUGGACAUGGUAUUGACGCUGAGGUGCGAAAGCGUGGGGAGCAAACAGGGAUUAAGAA